rnacentral:rRNA from 1 species
UUUUUGAAGGGUUUGAUCCUGGCUCAGAAUGAACGUUGGCGGCGUGGAUUAGGCAUGCAAGUCGAGCGAGAACCGGUUUCGGCCGGGGACAGCGGCGAACGGCGUAGUAAUGCAUCGGAACGUACCCUCUGGUCGGGGAUAGCUACGGGAAACUGUAGGUAAUACCCGAUGAACUCUGCGGAGCAAAGGUGAGAUUCCGCCGGAGGAGCGGCUGAUGUGAUAUUAGCUAGUUGGUGGGGUAAUGGCUUACCAAG